CACUAUCAGAUGCUUAACGCGACUGUGAUACUGACUAAUAGCAUAUCAAUUAGGGGGCGGAACUCGUAUUGUGACUGUUUAUGAAUGUUUGGAUGUGUAAUGUGUAUAUAUUCAGCGGACAUUAACAUGCAUUUAUAUUUUUCAAAACAGUAGUGUCUGUAUUGUUUGGUCGGACACACACUUUCCGCUCACUCGUAUCUGCGCCCAUACGCUAGACUUCUCCUCCCAUCCCAAAUAUGAUGUCAGCAAGCGACAUCCCGGGCUCAGGAGUGGCGACCUCCGUCGUCACGGCAACGGCAGACGACGCCGUAGGGUCCGCCACAGGAGAGGGCCACGAAAUGAAACAGAUCUGGAAGUUCAUCUACAUCGACAUGACCUACGUGAAGAGUUUGUUCGGUAUCUUACUGGCUGCCGAAAUGGUGCUUUCACUACUCGGCUUGAUAUGCGUGUCGGUACCGACAGACGAGGGCUGUGCCUAUCUCUACUCCUCUGCUUACUCAUUCUACGAGUUCGUGGCCAGCUCCUGUUUCAUCCUCAGCCUCGUCUGGUACAUCCUUUACCUGCUCGCCAUCACUCGCAAGCUGGGAUUCGUGCGUUGGGACAUAGCUGAGAUAGCUACCAAUGGAUUCUUCAUUCUGUUCUUCCUGAUCGCCUCCAGUGUGGUAGCAGCCAAGGCGUGUCGACAGGGCGGAUACAACGCGGCGGCUGUAUUCGGGUUUUUCUGCAUGAUUGUGUUAGCCGGUCACGAGUUCUUCUGUGUACGUCAAUUCCUGGAGCGCCGACAACAGGCUUCUGCACAGUCUACUUCAGCCGACGCAGCGGAUGAUUCAUCAAAAGAUUAAUAAGACGCCUAACAAACAUAUAGACUUUACAUCGGCCCGAUAUUGGCUUUUGCAUCGGACUUAGAUCGGACAUGUAACACGAUGCGAUAUCGGCCGACAUAGUCACCUGCACACUGCCGUCAUUUCACCUUAAUUAUCCCGAAAUUCACAUUUCUCGGCCCGACAUCGCGCCGAUAUAAAUAAUAUACAUUAGCUAAUACGUUAGGUACUGCCAUCAUACAGGCAAUAUCGGGCCGAUAUCGACAUGCUUGAUGAGGCGCCUUUUUUACAAUUUUUUUUCAACUUUUAUUACUGUGUUCACCUUUGUGUUACCUUUCUAACCUUUGUUCCCUAGUAUUUUUCAUUUGUAAAGUUGAAUUCUGUUCAUUUAACAUAAAACAUACAAUUUAUAAAAAUUUAUAAUAACAUGAAAAAAUCAUAUGGCAAAUCACCUUAUAACAAUGUAUGCUUGAUGCCCUUAACUUAAUAUUUUUUUCCUCAAACAUUUAUUGCGACCAGUAUGCUGGCUGCGGUAACAAUGUACAAAUAUGUUGAGAUAUAUACGGCGCCUCGAAGAUCAAACCCCAAUAACCCUGUGUAAAAUUUAAGAACAUUCGUGCCUACACUACAUUUCAAAUCCAUGAACCGUGAAAUUUUACCAAGGUCGACUACUCUGCUUUGAAUGUUUAUAAAACAUUCGGAUUAGCUUCGUUUGCACAUACAUGUUACACCAUUUCGCGGCGCCCAAUGGGGAAUUAUAUUGUCCGGAAUGGCAUAAACACAAAAAUAAUCAUUUGUAAGCAUAGCUUAAAAGAAUAUUUGUUGGAAUUUAUGGAAUAUCGAUUUUAAUUCACUUGUUAUCAUAGAAAAAAAAUCACACGUGGCUGCGACAGUAGUGAAAAUACUAUUUUAUAUGAUCAGUCGUGAAUUAAAAUCGAUAUUCCACCAAAUCCAGCAAAUAUCCUCUAUGUAAUACUGGCGUUAUCAAUUGUACAAUCGCUUUAAGGAGAAGCAUUAAUAAACUAGCCACUGAUUCUUCCGAUUCAGCACUUAGGACCAAAAGAUGUUAUUAAACGAUUCAGACAUCUAAUAGUCUGUAUAUUUGUACUGGGACACGUACACAUACUUUGGCAUGUUGUGAAGUUUGUCAUCAAGUGCUUUAAAUUGAUAAAUGUAAACAUCGGAACUACAAAUAUCCAGUACAAAAUAUAAAUAAAAUAAAAAGAAAAAGGGUUA